rnacentral:tRNA from 1 species
GCCCGAGUGGCGGAAUAGGUAGACGCACGGGACUUAAAAUCCCGAGGCCGCAAGGCCGUGGGGGUUCGAUUCCCCCCUCCGGCACCA